GGUCCCUAUCCGUCGUGGGCGUAGGAAAUUUGAGAGGAGCUGUCCUUAGUACGAGAGGACCGGGAUGGACAUACCUCUGGUGUACCAGUUGUCGUGCCAACGGCAUAGCUGGGUAGCUAUGUAUGGACGGGAUAAGUGCUGAAAGCAUCUAAGCAUGAAGCCCCCCUCAAGAUGAGAUUUCCCAACUUCGGUUAUAAGAUCCCUCGAAGAUGACGAGGUUAAUAGGUUCGAGGUGGAAGCGUGGUGACACGUGGAGCUGACGAAUACUAAUCGAUCGAAGACUUAAUCAA
rnacentral:rRNA from 1 species